UGGCUCAAACAGUUAAGUGUUUGGCUACUAACCAAAAGGUUGGUGGUUCGAACCCACC
rnacentral:tRNA from 1 species